UACGUAGGGUGCAAGCGUUGUCCGGAAUUAUUGGGCGUAAAGAGCUCGUAGGCGGUCUGUCGCGUCGGCUGUGAAAACCCGGGGCUCAACCCCGGGCCUGCAGUCGAUACGGGCAGACUAGAGUGUGGUAGGGGAGACUGGAAUUCCUGGUGUAGCGGUGAAAUGCGCAGAUAUCAGGAGGAACACCGGUGGCGAAGGCGGGUCUCUGGGCCGAUAUUGACGCUGAGGAGCGAAAGCGUGGGGAGCGAACAGG
rnacentral:rRNA from 1 species